AUCUACGGCCAUACCACCCUGAACGCACCCGAUCUCAUCUGAUCUUGGAAGCUAAGCAGGGUCAGGCCUGGUUAGUACUUGGAUGAGAGACAAUAGACAAUGAAUAUAGAGAAUGACUAAAAUUUGAGAAACACUGAUUUCUGUGGUUU
rnacentral:rRNA from 1 species